CUUCCGGUGACCCCGGCACGGCCUGCGUGCAGGUCUGACAGACUAGCAAUAGUCAGCGGAAUCUGCGAGGGGCCGUGGAGAGGACGUGCAGAAACGGUAAACUUUCUCUUCUCUUCCAUGGAGUCUGCUCCUUGAAGCCUUCAUUUGGGAAUCUGUUCGAGAGAGAAGAUCUGUUACUUGGGUUGGAAAACUGGACAGUGCUUUUCUGGGUCCUUUGCUUUAUAACCCCUCACAAGGCUGCAAUAAAGGUGUGGACCCAAGGUCUGUGCAGUCAUCUGAAGUGUCAGCUGGAGGAGAUUGUGCUUCCAAGUUCACUCAGUAGUUUUUGGUAGCAUCCAGUUCCUCAGAGUUCCUUGCCACAAGGACCUUUCCAAAGUGAAGAUUUUACUGCUGCAUCAA